ensembl:lncRNA
AUGAAGUGUACCUGUGUCAGGGUUUGUGUCUUCAGCUUCAGGCUCUGCAGGAGCUGCUGCCUUUUCUGCUGUUUCCUCAGGUGUUUCCUCGGGUGUUUCUUCAGGUGUUUCCUCGGGUGUUUCCUCAGGUGUUUCCUCAGGUGUUUCUUCAGGUGUUUCCUCAGGUGUUUCUUCAGGUGUUUCCUCAGGUGUUUCCUCAUGUGUUUCCUCUGGUGUUUCUUCAGGUGCAGGAUCUUCAGCUGGUUUUUCAGCAUCUGCAGCUGAAACAUAAAAAUCUUUCAAUCAGACACGUUUGUGGAAGCUCUCCUCACUGACCAUAAAUCACAUAAUCAGGCGCUAAAUCUCCUGUGGCUGUGUUUUCAGCGUAUAUAAUAUCUAUAUGUUACAUGUCGGGACAGUUCUGUGUUUCAGAAACAUCCAGUGAGGGGCUUUAUCAAGAACAAACUUGUUCUAGACCCUUAUAUCAGCUCUAGAGGAAUGCUUCAUUAUGAGGAUUGAACGACACUUUACAUGCAAGAAUUCAAACUAAAUUUAAGACUCUAUUCACCGAUAAUCUUCCUCUCAAAUUCACAAAUGCAGGUUUGUUUCCACAUGAUACGUGAAAAUCAGUGGUGUUUCCCAUCACAUGAUUUCAGAGGUCACAACUUUCUCUAACAUUCUUUAAAAGUUAUAUCAAUAUUAGGACAAAAUGUUCUUAAAGUAAUGUUUAUGGAACAUUUUUAUUAUUGGUUGACCGCCGAUAUUUGUCAUUUUUUGCCUACACCACAGUGUUCACAUUCUCCCUCUUGUUUGCCGUUGUCCUUAACAGUUCUGUCUAAUAUGGAUAGAAGUUUGUCUAAUAAUCCAAUAUAACUGUUAAACAAAGGAAUUAAAAAAAGUAGUAUAAUGAUUGCUUUUAUAUUAUUAGUAAUAGAAAGGCAAAUAUUAUAAUACUUUGUCAUUUGCUGUCAGCAUUCAGCAAAUAUGCAUUUACUGUACAUCAUUUAAACAAAUCUUUGAAUGGCUAAUGAAAUUUAAUUUCACAAACCUUGCAAACUUAGUUGGUUCCAGUUGUGAGAUUUUGUAAAGUGUGCAUUUGUAUCCUGCGUGUUCUUUACUUGACUUUCAGUCUGUGCAAAUUGAAUGCUUUAAACAUUAAAUUCGAGAUUUUAAAUUAUGCUGUGCUUUAUGCAUUUGCCCACUGUCAUAUUCAUGUCAUAUUCACACAAACUUCCCAGAAUACUGAGUGCUCUGUUGGUUACAGUUUACUUCCUUUUUAAUUAUAAUUUUAUAAAAUAUCGAUUUAUUUGUGAAAAAUACUUUGUCAUCUAAAGUGUUUAUUUUACAAAAUAAUUUUUAAUCCAUUUUCAAAUGAUUUCAAAUUUCUUAAAUAUUAAUUAAAAUAAAUAUAAUUAUAUUGGCUUUAUAUCA